rnacentral:SRP_RNA from 1 species
ACCUGGGUCCUGCGCAAUGGGAACCCGUGAACCAUGUCAGGUCCGGAAGGAAGCAGCAUUAAGCGGACUCUCUCAUGUGCCGCAGGGUUGCCUGGGUCGA